CGAAAGCGUGGGGAUCAAACAGGAGUAGAUAUCCUGGUAGGCCAGGCUGUAAACGAAUAAUACUAGGUGUCGGGUUUUACCCCCCUCGGUUCCCUAGCUAACGCAUUCAAUACUCCGCCUGGGAAAUCUAGUUGAAAUUGUGUAACUCAAAGUAAUUUUCGGUCACCCGACCAAGUAGCGGGGCAUAUGGUUUAAUUUGAAGACACGCCAAGAACCUUAACUUACCUUGACAUCCCAAUGACUUCUCCUUAAUCUGAGAGUUCCCUUCGGGGACAUUGGUGACAGGUGGUGCAUGGUU
rnacentral:rRNA from 1 species